GUGCUUGCUUCAGCAGCACAUAUACUAACAUUGGAAUGAUACAGAGAAGAUUAGCAUGGCCCCUGUGCAAGGAUGACAUGCAAAUUCAUGAAGUGUUCCAUAUUUUU
rfam:Tupaia chinensis contig112502, whole genome shotgun sequence.